UUAUAUUUUGGACGAACUUUGGAAGCGAAUAUCUUAGGCUACGAUCCACGAAAAGGUAUGAAAUCAAUCCAUAGCUCUUCCUUGUAAUACCCUCUUUAAGUUUCAUGAAGAACUCGAGGGGAGAAACGGCGUGAUCGGAGCUGGGGAGGGCGACUUUCAGACGGUGGCGCGAAAGAUCACGCACGUCUUCUUCCCGUCUGGAGGAAGAAGACGAUGACGUGGCCAGUUCAGUUGAACCGGCCAUGUCAACCAAAAACUCGACCCCACGAUUUUUCUAAAAUUUAACCCCCUUCCAGAAUGGUUCUCAAAAAAAUCUUUAUGGUUCCAAAACUAGACACAAUAAGGAGUCUGUGGAAGAAAAUUUAAGGUAAUUCAGGUAUCGGAAGAUCAUGAACAGAGGUCCUGAACGUCGACAACGAGGUUUACAGAUUUCAAAGGACAUAAUCGAACUUUUAUUAAGGAUAUAUUCGUGACAACAACUUAAGUUAACCAGGAUGCACUAAAUGUAAUGUAACGAUAGAAGUAAGAUGUAUUCACGAAACAUUAAGGUUAGGUUACGCCUCGAAGUGCUAUGGAUAUGAGAGAUUGAUAAAAGAAUAUGGUUAGGAUAUGGGUAGAAAGAACUCCCUAGGAAUCUAUGACCUUCUAGAACAACUUACGCUAAGAUGGGUUCAUAUGAUUACAAAUGAAAGUUACAACUUAUGCCCCAAGAAAUUAUGAACAUUAGAAACUUACAAGAUUGAGGAUCAAGAACAACACCACACAAACUUUACAACUACCCAAGUAAGAAGAAUGCUAGGUACCACUCAAGGACGAGGGACCAAGGUCCCCAAACUAAAAAACACAAGAAUGCUAGGUAAUACUCUAACCAUGCCCAAAGUGACCUAUGCCCUUGCAUCAAGCGGUGCUUUCUAAGGCCCUAAAAUUCCUCUUCUAGGUGGGAUGACCUGCACCAUGUUUCCUUUGCAAGAUGUCAUGUUUGGCCUCAAGUUUCCCUCACCUAGAAGAGAAGUUAUGGGUACCAAAAAGAUUUGCAGGAUGACAUAUUUAAGUAUGCACCGAGCUAGUGACCUUUAUGGUCUACCAUGAAGAGUAGUCUAGGGCCACGAAGGAACAAGAAGCGACAAGGAAUAAGAGAAGAA